CGCGUAGGCGGGCGGCCAAGUCAGGGGUGAAAGCCUCCAGCUCAACUGGAGAAGUGCCUUUGAUACUGGCCAUCUUGAGGGAGGUAGGGGCGUGCGGAACUUCCGGUGGAGCGGUGAAAUGCGUAGAUAUCGGAAGGAACACCGGUGGCGAAAGCGGCGCGCUGGACCUCUUCUGACGCUGAGGCGCGAAGCCAGGGGGAGCAAACG
rnacentral:rRNA from 1 species